rnacentral:rRNA from 1 species
AGAGUUUGAUCAUGGCUCAGGAUGAACGCUAGCGGCAGGCCUAAUACAUGCAAGUCGGACGGGAUUCGGGACUUCGGUUCCGAUGAGAGUGGCGCACGGGUGCGUAACGCGUGAGCAACCUGCCCAUAUCAGGGGGAUAGCCCGGAGAAAUCCGGAUUAACACCGCAUAACACAGCAGUCUGGCAUCAGACCACUGUUAAAUAUUUAUAGGAUAUGGAUGGGCUCGCGUGACAUUAGCUGGUUGGCGGGGUAACGGCCCACCAAGGCGACGAUGUCUAGGGGCUCUGAGAGGAGAAUCCCCCACACUGGUACUGAGACACGGACCAGACUCCUACGGGAGGCAGCAGUAAGGAAUAUUGGUCAAUGGGGGCAACCCUGAACCAGCCAUGCCGCGUGCAGGAUGACUGCCCUACGGGUUGUAAACUGCUUUUGUCAGGGAAUAAACCUUUCCACGAGUGGGAAGCUGAAUGUACCUGAAGAAUAAGGAUCGGCUAACUCCGUGCCAGCCGCCGCGGUAAUUC